rnacentral:lncRNA from 10 species
AGAAGAGCCAUUCUGGCCUUUCAGUUCCAAAGCUGGAAGUUGAAGUGAUGUUUUUGACAGGGAAGACUGAAGAAGAGACCCCAUUGCAUCUUCAUCGGAGCUGGAGGACAAAAAAAAAAUUCUUAGGACACUUAACAUGGAGAGUUUGAGAUCCGGAUACAGCGUGGGCUGUAACUAAGGGCAGUGGAAGCAGGCAGCCUUGGCUAGGAUGCCGCUGCUCCUCAUGACAUUUUGUCUCACAAACUUAGCAAGUUCUUAGAAAGUCCAAAACGCCAUAUGUGUUGCCUAAUUUUCUUAUAUGAUCACAGGAAAUAAAUAGGAAAAAUGCAGAUAAUUUGCAUUUUAUUUGAUAAUUUUUAAAUAAAAGUUACUUGUUAAUAAAAUUUCAGGUAGGAUGCUCCCUGAGUUUCUUCUGUAC